rnacentral:rRNA from 1 species
AACGAACGCUGGCGGCAUGCCUAACACAUGCAAGUCGAACGAGACCUUCGGGUCUAGUGGCGCACGGGUGCGUAACGCGUGGGAACCUGCCUUUAGGUUCGGAAUAACUCAGAGAAAUUUGAGCUAAUACCGGAUAAUGUCUUCGGACCAAAGAUUUAUCGCCUUUAGAUGGGCCCGCGUUGGAUUAGCUAGUUGGUGGGGUAAAGGCCUACCAAGGCGACGAUCCAUAGCUGGUCUGAGAGGAUGAUCAGCCACACUGGGACUGAGACACGGCCCAGACUCCUACGGGAGGCAGCAGUGGGGAAUAUUGGACAAUCGGCGAAAGCCUGAUCCAGCAAUGCCGCGUGAGUGAUGAAGGCCCUAGGGUUGUAAAGCUCUUUUACCAGGGAUGAUAAUGACAGUACCUGGAGAAUAAGCUCCGGCUAAACUCCGUGCCAGCAGCCGCGGUAAU